rnacentral:rRNA from 1 species
AUUGAACGCUGGCGGCAUGCCUAACACAUGCAAGACGAACGAGACCUUCGGGUCUAGUGGCGCACGGGUGCGUAACGCGUGGGAAUCUGCCCUUGGGUUCGGAACAACAGUUGGAAACGACUGCUAAUACCGGAUGAUGACUUCGGUCCAAAGAUUUAUCGCCCAGGGAUGAGCCCGCGUAGGAUUAGCUUGUUGGUGAGGUAAAAGCUCACCAAGGCGACGAUCCUUAGCUGGUCUGAGAGGAUGAUCAGCCACACUGGGACUGAGACACGGCCCAGACUCCUACGGGAGGCAGCAGUGGGGAAUAUUGGACAAGGGGCGAAAGCCUGAUCCAGCAAUGCCGCGUGAGUGAUGAAGGCCUUAGGGUUGUAAAGCUCUUUUACCCGGGAUGAUAAUGACAGUACCGGGAGAAUAAGCCCCGGCUAACUCCGUGCCAGCCGCCGCGGUAAAAC